UCGCACGAGAAAGUGGAGCAAUCCAUGAGUAAAGUGGCGCACGGGUGAGUAACACGUGAAUCAUCUACCUCCGAGUGGGGAAUAACCUAGAGAAAUCUGGGCUAAUACCGCAUAACACUUACGAGUCAAAGCAGCAAUGCGCUUGGAGAGGAGUUCGCGGCCGAUUAGCUAGUUGGCGGGGUAAUGGCCCACCAAGGCGAUGAUCGGUAUCCGGCCUGAGAGGGCGCACGGACACACUGGAACUGAAACACGGUCCAGACUCCUACGGGAGGCAGCAGUGGGGAAUUUUGCGCAAUGGGGGAAACCCUGACGCAGCAACGCCGCGUGGAGGAUGAAAUCCCUUGGGAUGUAAACUCCUUUCGAUGGGGAAGAUUAUGACGGUACCCAUAGAAGAAGCCCCGGCUAACUUCGUGCCAGCAGCCGCGGUAAUACGAGGGGGGCAAGCGUUGUUCGGAAUUAUUGGGCGUAAAGGGUGCGUAGGCGGUUUGACAAGUCUGAUGUGAAAUCUAUGGGCUCAACCCAUAGUCUGCAUCGGAAACUGUCGGGCUUGAGUAUGGGAGAGGUGAGUGGAAUUUCCGGUGUAGCGGUGAAAUGCGUAGAUAUCGGAAGGAACACCUGUGGCGAAAGCGGCUCACUGGACCAUUACUGACGCUGAGGCACGAAAGCUAGGGGAGCAAACAGGAUUAGAUACCCUGGUAGUCCUAGCCCUAAACGAUGAUUGCUUGAUGUGGCAGGUACCCAAUCCUGCCGUGUCGAAGCUAACGCGAUAAGCAAUCCGCCUGGGGAGUAC
rnacentral:rRNA from 1 species